rnacentral:rRNA from 1 species
UGCCCUUAGGUUCGGAAUAACAGUGAGAAAUCGCUGCUAAUACCGGAUAAUGUCUUCGGACCAAAGAUUUAUCGCCUUUGGAUGGGCCCGCGUUGGAUUAGCUAGUUGGUGAGGUAAAGGCUCACCAAGGCGACGAUCCAUAGCUGGUCUUAGAGGAUGAUCAGCCACACUGGGACUGAGACACGGCCCAGACUCCUACGGGAGGCAGCAGUGGGGAAUAUUGGACAAUGGGCGAAAGCCUGAUCCAGCAAUGCCGCGUGAGUGAUGAAGGCCUUAGGGUUGUAAAGCUCUUUUACCAGGGAUGAUAAUGACAGUACCUGGAGAAUAAGCUCCGGCUAACUCCGUGCCAGCAGCCGCGGUAAUACGGAGGGAGCUAGCGUUGUUCGGAAAUACUGGGCGUAAAGCGCACGUAGGCGGUGUCGCAAGUCAGGGGUGAAAUCCCGGGGCUCAACCCCGGAACUGCCCUUGAAACUG